UCCGGAAUUAUUGGGCGUAAAGAGCGUGUAGGCGGCUCGAUAAGUCCGCUGUGAAAGUCCAGGGCUCAACCCUGGAAGGCCGGUGGAAACUGAAGAGCUAGAGUAUGGUAGGGGUAGAGGGAAUUCCCGGUGUAGCGGUGAAAUGCGUAGAUAUCGGGAAGAACACCAGUGGCGAAAGCGCUCUACUGGGCCAUAACUGACACUGAGGGACGAAAGCUAGGGGAGCGAAAGGG
rnacentral:rRNA from 1 species